CAAUAGCGUAUAUUUAAGUUGUUGCAGUUAAAAAGCUCGUAGUUGGAUUUCGGUUAAGAGCGACCGGUCCGCCGUUUGGUGUGCACUGGUUGGUUUUAACUUCCUGUAGAGGACGUGCUCUGGGUUUAACGACCUGGACUCGGAGUCUACGUGGUUACUUUGAAAAAAUUAGAGUGUUCAAAGCGGGCUUACGCUGGAAUAUUUCAGCAUGGAAUAACACUAUAGGACUCCUGUCCUAUUUCGUUGGUCUCGGGACGGGAGUAAUGAUUAAGAGGAACAGUUGGGGGCAUUCGUAUUUCAUUGUCAGAGGUGAAAUUCUUGGAUUUAUGAAAGACGAACUUCUGCGAAAGCAUUUGCCAAGGAUGUUUUCAUUAA
rnacentral:rRNA from 1 species